UGGGGAAUAUUGCACAAUGGGCGCAAGCCUGAUGCAGCCAUGCCGCGUGUAUGAAGAAGGCCUUCGGGUUGUAAAGUACUUUCAGCGGGGAGGAAGGUGUUGAGGUUAAUAACCUCAGCAAUUGACGUUACCCGCAGAAGAAGCACCGGCUAACUCCGUGCCAGCAGCCGCGGUAAUACGGAGGGUGCAAGAGUUAAUCGGAAUUACUGGGCGUAAAGCGCACGCAGGCGGUCUGUCAAGUCGGAUGUGAAAUCCCCGGGCUCAACCUGGGAACUGCAUUCGAAACUGGCAGGCUAGAGUCUUGUAGAGGGGGGUAGAAUUCCAGGUGUAGCGGUGAAAUGCGUAGAGAUCUGGAGGAAUACCGGUGGCGAAGGCGGCCCCCGGGACAAAGACUGACGCUCAGGUGCGAAAGCGUGGGGAGCAAACA
rnacentral:rRNA from 1 species